UUCUGAACCCGGACCAAGGAGUUUUAGAAAUGUGCCCGAGUCCAAAGGGGCUGGGCUAAACCCCCAAGGCGUAACGAAAAGUGAAUGGGGCCGUUCGAAGAGGAUAGAUGCGGGAUCGGGCUCAAGGUUUUGAGAUCGGGGAGUUCGCUCUCUAGUUUCUUUUCCUCCGGUCUUUUCGCUCUUCCCACUCCUUCUCGUCCCUUGGGCCGAUCCGGUUUCGACCUCGUGUCGAAUUUACCUCGUGCUUAAAACCCAUAGGAGGACGGCGCAGGUCCGGGGCUCGCCAGCUUCCUCCCCGCCGUUAACGCUAACGUCAGCGCACUCUCCGGUCGCGGCCGGUGAUCUCCCUCCGCCGUUCGUCGUUCGUCGUCGUCUCCCUCGGGGGGCGACGUUCGGGCGGCGACUCGGCGGGUCCAAGGGACGAACGCCGAGCGAUCGCGGACGCUGGCUCGCGGGUGGGGACGAGCGGCGGGUACCUCGAGCGUACAUUCUAGUACCCGAAAGAUGGUGAUCUAUGCCUGCCAGGAGAAGC
rnacentral:rRNA from 1 species